rnacentral:rRNA from 2 species
GUAACGGCGAGUGAAGCGGCAACAGCUCAAAUUUGAAAUCUGGUCCCCAGGGCCCGAGUUGUAAUUUGUAGAGGAUGCUUUUGGCGAGGCGCCUUCCGAGUUCCCUGGAACGGGACGCCACAGAGGGUGAGAGCCCCGUCUGGUCGGAUGCCAAGCCUAUGUAAAGCUCCUUCGACGAGUCGAGUAGUUUGGGAAUGCUGCUCAAAAUGGGAGGUAUAUGUCUUCUAAAGCUAAAUAUUGGCCAGAGACCGAUAGCGCACAAGUAGAGUGAUCGAAAGAUGAAAAGCACUUUGAAAAGAGGGUUAAAAAGUACGUGAAAUUGUUGAAAGGGAAGCGCCUAUGACCAGACUUGGGCCCGGUGAAUCAUCCAGCGUUCUCGCUGGUGCACUUUGCCGGGCACAGGCCAGCAUCAGUUUGGCGCGGGGGAUAAAGGCUUCGGGAAUGUGGCUCCCUCGGGAGUGUUAUAGCCCGUUGUGUAAUACCCUGCGCCGGACUGAGGUACGCGCUCCGCAAGGAUGCUGGCGUAAUGGUCAUCAGCGACCCGUCUUGAAACACGGACCAAGGAGUCGUCUUCGUAUGCGAGUGUUCGGGUGUAAAACCCCUACGCGUAAUGAAAGUGAACGCAGGUGAGAGCUUCGGCGCAUCAUCGACCGAUCCUGAUGUUCUCGGAUGGAUUUGAGUAAGAGCAUACGGGGCCGGACCCGAAAGAAGGUGAACUAUGCCUGUAUAGGGUGAAGCCAGAGGAAACUCUGGUGGAGGCUCGCAGCGGUUCUGACGUGCGAAUCGAUCGUCAAAUAUGGGCAUGGGGGCGAAAGACUAAUCGAACCUUCUAGUAGCUGGUUUCCGCCGAAGUUUCCCUCAGGAUAGCAGUGUUGAACUCAGUUUUAUGAGGUAAAGCGAAUGAUUAGGGACUCGGGGGCGCUAUUUAGCCUUCAUCCAUUCUCAAACUUUAAAUAUGUAAGAAGCCCUUGUUACUUAGCUGAACGUGGGCAUUCGAAUGUAUCAACACUAGUGGGCCAUUUUUGGUAAGCAGAACUGGCGAUGCGGGAUGAACCGAACGCGAGGUUAAGGUGCCGGAGUGGACGCUCAUCAGACACCACAAAAGGUGUUAGUACAUCUUGACAGCAGGACGGUGGCCAUGGAAGUCGGAAUCCGCUAAGGACUGUGUAACAACUCACCUGCCGAAUGUACUAGCCCUGAAAAUGGAUGGCGCUCAAGCGUCCCACCCAUACCUCGCCCUCAGGGUAGAAACGAAGCCCUGAGGAGUAGGCGGACGUGGAGGUCAGUGACGAAGCCUAA